CCCGUCCCCUCGGUUACACCU
rnacentral:miRNA from 1 species